CAGCGACGCCGCGUGGGGGAUGACGGCCUUCGGGUUGUAAACCUCUUUUCUCGGGGACGAUAAUGACGGUACUCGGGGAAUAAGUCACGGCUAACUACGUGC
rnacentral:rRNA from 1 species